AUCAGAUGAUAUAUAAUCACGACAUCGUGGAAAUAUCAAAUCUUCGGAGCCUUGGGAUGAGCCUGCGUCUGAUUAGGUAGUUUGGCGGAGUAAUAGCCCACCAAGCCUACGAUCAGUAGCUGGUCUGAGAGGAUGAUCAGCCACACUGGAACUGAGACACGGUCCAGACUCCUACGGGAGGCAGCAGUAAGGAAUAUUGCUCAAUGGGGGAAACCCUGAAGCAGCAACGCCGCGUGAAGGAUGAAAUACUUUUGUAUGUAAACUUCUGUAAGAUGGGAAAAAUAUUCUCCUCGGGAGAAUUGAUUGUACCAUCAGAGUAAGCCCCGGCUAACUACGUG
rnacentral:rRNA from 1 species